ensembl:rRNA 5S_rRNA 5S ribosomal RNA
GCUUACGGCCAUAUCACCCUGAACACGCCCGAUCUCGUCUGAUCUCGGAAUCUAAGCAGGGUCGGUCCUGGUCAGUACUUGGAUUGGAGAUCGCCUGGGAAUAUCAGGUGCUGUAAGCU